GCUCAACCGAGGAAGUGCUUCGAAAACUGGUAAACUUGAGUGCAGAAGAGGAAAGUGGAACUCCAUGUGUAGCGGUGGAAUGCGUAGAUAUAUGGAAGAACACCAGUGGCGAAGGCGGCUUUCUGGUCUGUAACUGACGCUGAGAUUCGAAAGCAUGGGUAGCAAACAGGAUUAGAUACCCUGGUAGUCCAUGCCGUAAACGAUGAGUGCUAAGUGUUGGAGGGUUUCCGCCCUUCAGUGCUGCAGCUAACGCAUUAAGCACUCCGCCUGGGGAGUACGAUCGCAAGAUUGAAACUCAAAGGAAUUGACGGGGGCCCGCACAAGCGGUGGAGCAUGUGGUUUAAUUCGAAGCAACGCGAAGAACCUUACCAGGUCUUGACAUACCAUGAAAAGCUAAGAGAUUAGUCUUUCCCUUCGGGGACAUGGAUACAGGUGGUGCAUGGUUGUCGUCAGCUCGUGUCGUGAGAUGUUGGGUUAAGUCCCGCAACGAGCGCAACCCUUCUUAUCAGUUGCCAGCAUUCAGUUGGGCACUCUGGUGAGACUGCCGGUGACAAACCGGAGGAAGGUGGGGACGACGUCAAAUCAUCAUGCCCCUUAUGACCUGGGCUACACACGUGCUACAAUGGUCGGUACAACG
rnacentral:rRNA from 1 species